CUGCGAGCCCGGCUCCGCCACCGUGAGCCCGGCUCUGCCGCCGUCAGCCCGGCUCUGCCGCUGCGAGCCCGGCUUGGCGCUCUGAGCCCGGCUCUGCGGCCGCACCGAGGGAGGAGCGGGAGUCCCUCGCACACGGACCCAGAGCCAGCCGAAACCACAUGGGGACGCCGCUUCUCUUGGCCUCCUCCGCGUCCUGUCGCGUUUUCCUCGCCGUCGCUCGAGCAGCAGCAGGGCUGGCGGCCCGGAGCGGCCCCGGUGCCUCGGAGCUGUAGGUGCUGUGUGUGCGGUGCCAGCCCGCCGAGCCUCCCCGAGCUCGGGGUUUGCCUUACCGCGCUGUCAGCUCCGUGGCCGUGGCUUGGCACAGCUGCACCUCUCGGGGGAGCUGGCAGCAUCGCUUCUACCUCCAGCGUGGGACCAUGUGGCUGCUGCAGCCCGAGAUCGGAGCCGAUGCGGUGUCGUUGUGGACUUGAGCAGCUGAGGAUGCUGAAACCCGAAGAUGAUUUAGCAAAAUGCCAUCGAGUCAGGGAGAGAACACUAAAAAUUUAACUGGUAUUACCUCCUUUUGUGCUGACCCCUACACUAUGGACGUACUGUUUUUGCUGUCACCUCAGACCAGUGGUGAAUAUGAAGACUGUGGCAUUUCUCUCUAAAAAGCAGCUUUAAAAUAACCAGCCAGAAGGCAGGCUAGCAAGCAGUGGUGAUCGCCUGCAUUCUGGAAUUUUAACAUCAGCACCAUUGUAAUCUGUAGACAGCCGUGGCUAAAAAUGAAAGUGAAACUUCUCUGUACAUGAUAAACCAAAAAACUAGGAAUUGGCUCUCCAAAUUAUAAAUGGCUGAGAUUUCAGGAGGUAGUACUGUUGCUCCAUCUGAAACACAAGUUGGCCUAAAUACAACCCUCUGUAGGAAUAGGAUUCUGGUUUCCUCCCUCCUUCAAAGCGUGGGAAUUCAUCUGGAGUAGGAAGCAAACCCUUCCGAGCUCCUGAGCAGUAAGAGAAG